CCCCUUUCCCUUUCUCCCUCCCCCUCUCUCUCUCUCUCUCUCUCUGACACGCACCCAGGGAUGGAAUUUAAGGAUUGUUUUACUAGCCCGGUCUGAAAAUACUAGCCUCAGGCUACUGGGCUAGCAUAAUGUCCAUCCCUGCACAUGCUUAAUGACCACCACUCCCCACAAGAAUUAUACUACGGUAUAAAUAUUGUAGUAUUCACUUCAGUGUUUUUGCAGACUUUUGUGGAAACACUACAGUGUAUACUGUAGUAUACUGUAGUAUUUGCUGUAGUAUACUGUAGUAUUUGCUGUAGUAUACCUCAGUAUUUGCUGUAGUAUACUGUAGUCUUCACAGUUAACUAAUGUAUGAAUACUGUAGUAUAUACUAUCGUAAUUAAUGUAGUGUUUUUGCAGACUGUAGUAUACUGUUGUCAUUGUGGGAGGGAGCAAAAAGACAGUUCAACAGGGUGUUUUGAAUUUAACCAGGCAAGUCAGUUAAGAACAAAUUCUUAUUUACAAUGACGGCCCUACCACGUCCAAACCCGGACGAGUACUGAGAUGCAGUGCCUUAGACUGCUGCGUCGCUCAGAAGCCCUCUCGGUUCACUGCCUCACACCAGGGAGAUUGCAGAAUUCUUGUUCGUCACACAUACUGACGUCUAUGUUUUUUUUUCUUCAAGAACUAUCGGGACUCUUGUUAAGUGAGGAGAUGGAAGAUGAAUUGAUGAGAGCUGGAAUUUUGUAUUGAUUUGAGACCAGGAAAUAGCGGUAGAAGUAAAUAAUAAAAGUAUAUUGAAUGAAUAUAGCCCUUGUAACAUAACAUAUUAUGAGGAACUGUCCUAUACACACCAUUUUAUUUAACCUUUAUUUAACCUUUAUUUAACUAGGCAAGAUAGUUAAGAACAAAUUCUUAUUUACAAUGGUGGCCUACCGGGGAACAGUGGGUUAAACUGCCUCGUUCAGGGGCAUAAAGACAGAUUUUUACGUUGUCAGGUCGGGGAUUCAAUUCAAUCCAGCAAUUUUUUGGUUACAAACGUUCUAACCACUAGGCAGACCUGCCGACCCCAACUACUCAAAUAACAUGCACUACUUAAAACACACGUUAACUUGUUCCUAUUCACAGCUUGUGUUUGUUUUCUCACUCUACCUGACACUCUAGUGUUAGCCUGUACCCUGUGCAUUCAGAUGACUGUUACAUUGUAUUAAAACCUUCUUAUUAUGGUCAUUUACUAAUUGUCCGAUAUCAUCUCUGUAACGUAUACAAUAUGACGCACUAUUUUUAUUUUAAUGUUUAAAAUAAUUAAUUAAUAAUUAAUUAAUUUAAUUUUUUUUUACUUGCAAAAACAAGUACAUUUAUUUGGUUUUUACCAAAUAACAGCAUAAUUUAUGUAUGAAUGACACAUUUUGAGAUAUUGACAUGAUAAAGUUAAUUACAAAGGUGUGGUUCGUAGUUAAAACAAGUCGUCAUGGUUAUCUGGUAUAGGACAUAAAUCCACUAUAUGUAAAUACUGCAGUUUUACACUUUAUUAGAUGUUUUACUUCCUGCUUAUAUUGUGUUGUUCUGCAAUGUAUUAUACUACAUAUACUUUGAAUAUACUAAUUGUCCAUAUAUGGUAUUUCAGACGAGUUUUACAUGAAUACAAUAAACCACAUCUUGUUGUUCUUAUUGUUCAGUGUAAUGUAUGUACUAAACUGAAAAUAAAUAUCAACGUAACAUGUAAAGUGUUGGUCCCAUGUUUCAUGAGCUGAAAUAAAAGUUCCCUGAAAUGUUCCAUAUUUGCAC
ensembl:lncRNA